CCUACGGGAGGCAGCAGUGGGGAAUAUUGCGCAAUGGAGGAAACUCUGACCCAGCGACGCCGCGUGAGUGAUGAAGGUUUUCGGUAUGUAAAGCUCUGUCAGCAGGGAAGAACAAGACGGUGACUAACUAAAAGGCCCCUGCUAGCUACGGGCCAGCAGCCGCGGUCAUACUUAGGUGGCAAGCGUUAUCCGGAUGUACUGUGCGUAAAGUGAGCGGAGGCGGUUCUGUAAGUCUGAUGUGAAGGCCCUGGGCUCAACCCCGGGGGGUCAUUGGAAACUGUAAGACUAGAGUGCAGGAGAGGAAGGUGGAAUUCCUAGUGUAGCGGUGAAAUGCGUAGAUAUUAGGAGGAACACCAGUGGCGAAGGCGGCUUGCUGGACGGUGACUGACGCUGAGGCUCGAAAGCGUGGGGAGCAAACAGGAUUAGAUACCCUUGUAGUC
rnacentral:rRNA from 1 species